rnacentral:rRNA from 1 species
UACAUGUGGGGCAAGCGUUGUUCGGAAUUACUGGGCAUAAAGGGUGCGUAGGUGGUCUGUUAAGUCACGGGUGAAAGUUUUCGGCCCAACCGGAAAAUUGCCUAUGAUACUGGCGGACUUGAGUGCGUGAGGGGUAACCGGAACGAGCAGUGUAGCGGUGAAAUGCGUAGAUAUUGCUCGGAAGGCCAGAGGCGAAGGCGGGUUACUGGUACGGCAACUGACACUGAGGCACGAAAGCGUGGGGAGCGAACAGGAUUGAGAAACCCGAGUA